GAUGGGGGUAUGCUAUGCAACCUGUCCAUGUUGGCAUCUACCUAAUUUGGCUUCUACCAAAUGAUGGUUUGCGCCAAUAUACAAUAUAGAGUUUAAUUGGACACACGCCUCUGACGUCAACAGACAACGAAAAAGCUACGAGCUGUUUCCCAGUGAGACUUGGAGCUGGGGUGUGUGGAUCUCUCUUGGCUGCUGAGUCGGGGUCUCCACCUCUGCCUCAUGUCCUCCUGGCAGCGUUCCUCUUUUGGACACUGGCAGCAGCUUGUGCUCCAUGCCCCCCUCCCAGAUGUUGUGUCUUGGGACAGAUGUGCACCCCAGCUCAGUAUCUAAGGAAUCUAGGUAAGUAUGUGGUUAAGCAGGAGAUGUCUUGCACUGGCUGAUGAAAGGGAGGAACAUGCCAAUGCAACAGCCCACCUGGCAUCCAAACGGAUAAUAAGGGACGCUAACAGAAGGAGAGCUAGUAUUUUAUUGUUGGAAUUAUGUGACUAUAAAAAUGCCACAAUAAUUGCUAAAUUUAAAGGAGGUAAAAAAAUUUCUUUAAUUGAUACAUUUACAGUAAGAAAAAGGAAAAUUGCUAAGUAAGUUUUUUUUUUUAAGAAAUUAAUAUUUUUAUUCAGCUAGGAUAUAUUAAAUUGAUCAAAAGCCAUUUAUAAUGUUGCAAAAGAUUUCCAUUUCAAAUAAAAGCUGUUCUUUUGAACUCUGUUCAUCAAAUCCUGAAAAAAUGGUUUCCACAAAAAUAUUAAGCAGCACUACCACUUUUUUUUACCACAUUGAUGAUAAAUAUUUCUUGAGCCCAGAUCCUCAUAUUAGAAUGAUUUCUGAAGGAUCAUGUGACACUGACAUCUAGAUUUUAAUUUGUAAUAAUAUUUCACAAUAUUACUGUUUUAAUUGUAUUUUUGAUCAUAUAAAUGCAGCCUUGGUAACAAAAAACAAAAACAAUCUGACAAACUUCGUUUUGAACAGGAGUGGAUGGAUGCCUUAAUGGUGAACGUGAUUUCACCAAGUACAGCAUGUUCCUGGAUCAACUUCUUUGUUGAUCCUGGAACAACAUUGCAAUCAACCAAUCAGAUUUGAGGGACAAGUUUACAGUUUAAGUCAAGUUUAGGCUUAAAACCAAGUUUUGGUGCUUCUACACCAGUGUUAUUCACUUAUCAUUUCUGUCUGAUUUUAGGGAUAAGUUAUGGGUCGGGUUAGGGGUAGAGAUAGGGUUAGGACUAAAUUUUCAGACAGAAAUGUUGUCCCAGGAUCAUCAAAAUAUGUUGAUCCAGGAACAUGUCUUACUUGGCAAAAAUCACACCAUGCUGUAAUUACUGUAAUUACGAGAUUCCAACUUGUAAUUAUGAGUUCUACAAGGACAUGAAUGCUUUUUACAAUUACAAUUUUCUGAGAGCUCCAACUUGCACCACCUGACCGCUGCAGAUUCAUUUUGCCCUCGAUAGUGUUGCCACAGAAACGCAUAAUUCCGAGUCAGAGUGGAACUUCACGUUGUCAUCUCGUAAUUACGGUAAUUACGACAUGGCGUGAAUGUAGCAUUUAUUACUGAACUUAAGUAGCCUUAUUUUGACGUACUAAAAGUUUAAGUACGAUAUAGAAUCAUUUAUCUAUAUAAAUGUACAAAAAAGACAAUUUAAGCAAGUCUCUCUUAGUCAAAGAAACACCAUUUUUGGGCAACUUAAGGUUUUUGAAUACUUAAGGUGCAUCAAACGAGAAGCAUUUUUUUGUAACAUGGCACCAAACUCAGCCACUAGGGGCGUGUGUGUGUGUGUGUGUGUGUGUUUAUAUAUAAUAUAUUUUUUUAUGAACUGCCUUAGUUAGCAGUCCAAAACGAACUCCAAUACACAAGGUCAUGUGUGCCACACAAAGGCAAGCUUUAUUACUGGAAAGACAAAGGGAGAAGACAUCAUUUCAAAAAUAACAUUCUGAAAUCAACAGUGUAAAACACAAAACAGAAAAUAUUUGCCUGCCUCAAAUAAUGAAUCCAAAUAAACAGGACUAAGCAGUUUUACAUCAAGCACAUCUUUGUCAAUCCACAACAUAAACAAAUAUUUAAUCUUGUGACAUUCUUUUAGAUGUCUUACAAAGAUUACAAAACAGGAUAUGUACAACCGAAGAACUAGAGGACAUGCUUGAAGUGUAUUCGUACCAAACAGUGUGCAAUGGCAGCAUAAUGACUGAAUGUCCAUCUUCAUCUGGGACGCUCACAUGACCCAGAACUUUACAAAUAAAUCGGCAGCUACAAUGUCUGACCAGCCAUGUGACAUGUUUACACGCUGUUCAUACUCCCUAGCACCCAAAAUUCAUUUUCAUUUUAUUUACACAGUCACAAGACAAUGCAAAAAGGAAUUUGGUGUGUGAUCACAGUGGCAGAGCUUGUAAACGGCCACAGUGGCUGCUCGCAUCUUAUCUUCCACCACCGAUGAUUGAACAAAAUGAGAAAAAUAUUGAUUUCAAGUGUACAGAAAUAAAGCAAAAACAACUAUUUGAACAAUAGUUAAAAAAUGGAAAAAUAUCUUUCAUUAAACAGGACCAGCCUGUUCGAUUUUUUUUUUUUUUUUUUUCUUUUUUUCCAAAAGUCUGUUUCCAUUUCCAAUUUGGCCUUGCAGAUUCACAAACAUCAAAGCCCUUAUCAGGUCAGCUGAUCCAUAUAUUAAAAUGU